rnacentral:rRNA from 1 species
ACGCUCGACACCUACGGGACAGCAGUGGGGAAUAUUGCACAAUGGGGGAAACCCUGAUGCAGCGACGCCGCGUGGAGGAAGAAGGUCUUCGGAUUGUAAACUCCUGUUGUUGGGGAAAAAGAGGAUGGUACCCAACAAGGAAGUGACGGCUAACUACGUGCCAACAGCCGCGGUAAUCUGAGCGGGCUGGCAAGGC